GUACAUAUAUAUAAUUAUAAACCAAGACCAAAGUACCUGUGAAUUUUUACCCCUCCCCCAACUCCCCAAGAUCAAUUUAAUUGUAUAUUAUGUAUAUUCGUUGCUUUUUUCUUCAUGAAAAUGAAAUAAGAAGUGCAAUAUCCAUAAAAUUGUAUGAAGUUUUGAAGACAUAAACGUCAAUUAAAGCAUUUUUUUAUUUUUCAAGUUUUCACAAAAAGUGGGUGGGAAUGGUGACGUACAUUUCUUUCAUGCGGACUUUUGAACAAAACGAAGUGCGACAGUUGUUGCGAGAAUUUCAGCUACGCCAAGGAUAAGGGUUACAUGAUAAUUUUUGGGAACUGCAAUCAUUCGCUUUGUGCUGAGUGUUUUGGACAGGCAACAAGAACACAUGGAUCUGUUGCGUGCUUUGUGAAAUCUUGUAAAAAAGAAUCACCUCUAUCUGACCUGGUUAAGGUGAAUUGUGUGACUCGUAAGAUAUCCUGUGUAUUCUGCAAUGAAACUCUGGAUGGUUGGGUAAGCAUUUUAGACGUUCAUUUGUUCAUACAAAAUGCGAUUUAGAGACACUCAUGCAUGGA